rnacentral:lncRNA from 1 species
GAUACAACCAGUCCUAUUUACCAUCAACAUCCUGUCUACAAGAUACCGCCCAGUCCCAUUUACCCUCAAACAUCCUGUCUACAAGAUACAGCCAGUCCUAUUUACCAUCAACAUCCUGUCUACACAGAUUACAGCCAGUCCUAUUUACCUCAACAUCUGUCUGACAGUCAGUCCUAUUUUACCAUCAACAUCCUGUCUGACAAGUCAUCCUAUUUACCAUCAAUCCUGUCUACAAGAUACCAACCAGUCCUAUUUACCACAACAUCCUGUCUGACAAGUCAGUCCUAUUUAACAUCAUCAUCUUAUAGUACCUUUAUCAUUAAAACCAUUUAGGCUCUUCCGCAUUACUUUGAUGUCUCAAUCAACAGCCAGCAUCUCCAAUCAAACCAGCCAGCAUCUCCAAUCAACAGCCACAUCUUCAAUCAACAGCCACUAUCUUCAAUCAACAGCCACUAUCUUCCAUCAACAGCCACUAUCUUCAAUCACCAGCCACUAUCUUCAAUCAACAGCCACUAUCUUCAAUCAACCGCACUAUCUUCAAUCCGACAGUAAUCAAUCAACCGACAGUAUCUUCAAUCAAACGACAGUAUCUUCAUCAACAGAAAGAUAGUAUCUUUGGGUAGUAUUAUGGAAAGUUCUUGAUUUCUCAGUGGAUAGCCAGUCUUUCUAUUCUGUCUUCUUGAGUCAUCUUAACCUUCUGACAGGUUGGUGGUCAGGCUCUGGUUCCUCUAGGAGGGUGGCCAUGUCCUCCUCACUAACCUUUUCUGACAGGUUGGUGGUCAGGUUGCUCUAGGGCUGACCAUGUCCUCAUCACUAACCUUUCUUCUCCUGACAGGUUGGUAGUAGGCUCUGGUUCCUCAGAGGGUGACCAUGUCCUCCUCACUAACCUUUGACAGGUUGGUGGUCAGACUCUGGUUCCUCUAGGAGGGUGACCAUGUCCUCAUCACUAACCUUUGACAGGUUGGUGGUCAGACUCUGGUUCCUCUAGGAGGUGACCAUGUCCUCAUCACUAACCUUUGACAGGUGGUGGUCCGACUCUGGUUCCUCUAGGAGGGUGACCAUGUCCUCACACUAACCUUUGACAGGUUGGUGGUCAGACUCUGUUUCCUCUAGG